rnacentral:tRNA from 2 species
GCCUGGGUAUCGAAGUGGUCAUAACGAGGCGGUCUUGAAAACCGUUCUGUUCAGUAGCACUGGGCACGGGAGUUCGAAUCUCUCUCCAGGCG